GUUUCGACCUCUCCCCGUCCGACUCUCCUCCAGCCUUUCUCUGUCUGCGUUCUAAUGUUUCCUGAACCAUCAGCACGGAUUGACACCAGAGGCGACCAAUAGGUGGAGAGGCUGAGGAGUGCGGUGUGCGGUGAUUGGCUGCUGGUCAGGCAGUGGGCGUUUCCAAUUGUUUUCAGGCUGGGGAUGAGGGCAGAGAGCUGUAUUGGCAGUGAGGAGUUAUAACAUAGUGGAGCCAGACUGCCUGCUGCUUAUUGAAUUGUCUGGGGGUUCUGUGUCUCAGUUGAUAGAUACUGGGCAUUUAUUUGUGGCAUUACCCAAGUUAUGAGUGGUUAGAUAGAGCCUGGUUUAUUAUCUGAACAUUAGUUGCUGUACUUGGUUAUAUAGUAUAUGGGUUUAGUACAGAGUUUGGGGAGAUUGUACCUUUUAGUGUAUUUGCAUAGGGCUGUAACUGUGUGACAUGGUUAGCCAUACAUACAGGGAGUGCUACUUUUACAAGCUUUUAAUGUUCUUGUAAUGUCUGACCUGCUUUCCCCCAUCACUGCUGCUUUCGGUUUGUGAGUCCCAGCUCUGGGCUACUGUCUGCUCUGUCCUGGGGCUGCCAGGAUUGUUAGGGAUGAAAUAGAAGACUUGCACUUUGUGUAUCAUUGUUUGCUGAGAGGAUGCUGGACUUUCAUACUACAUUUAAUCUCACCAGAGAUGUCAUGCCCUGGAUCCUUCUCCAUGGAUCACCUGGUAAAUAUUUUGUUUCCGUCAACCUUUCACUACUGAGCUACCAUCCGAUGUAAAAAUGUAGAACUAUAGUAUUUGCUACAAUGUUUCUCGCCAUACCUUGCUUUACUGUAACGAACUGAAACCGCAUACUCAACUUUCAGCUUUUACAUAGCAAUCUUAAAUAGAAAUUAGUUUUAGAUCUGUCUUUUAUUAUUAUUAUUAUUAUUAUUAUUUUGCUUUGCUAACUCUGAUAUCCAUACUUUUACAUCACAUUUUACUCCUCAGCACUCUAUCAUUCAUUUAUGUAUUAUUAUUAUUAUUAUUGUUUUAAUAUUGUUUAUUUUUGUUUCAUUUUUAGAAAAUUGUGGUGAAAAAGCUGGCUCUGCAUGGGGACAUACAGAACCCGAAAGGAAAAGUAAGUAAAACCGGUUUCCAAAGAUGUUUUGUAAUAGUUAUCAAUCCGAUUAAAUAUUUUGUAGUUUGUAUUGUUAACUCUUUUUCACUCCCUGCCCCGUGUGUAGAUGGUCAAAAGACUAAGGAGCAUACUACAAACCCCUUAAUACGGGCACCUGGUUUUAUUUUCAGUUUGAGAAUGAAGUCAGCGUGAGUCAGAUGAGCUGAUAGCCCUGUGUCAUGAUUUGCUACUUUGCAUGUGAUGUUUUUUUUUGCCACCAGUGUCUGCCAAAAUGUAUUAAUAUUAUUUUUUCAGAAGUUUGCAAAGUUAUGUUCUUUAUGUCUAUGUCUACUGUUUUGCACAGGCUGUGUACCAAUGUAGGAAAUAGAUUCAGCUGCACUAAUGAUUACAUCAAUGCCCUACACAUGUUUAGAUUUAUUCUUGACUUUUUGUAUUUUUGUUUUUAAAUCAACCUUUGUAAUGAACCCCUUAACCCCUUAAGGACGGAGCCAAAUGUACACAUUGUGAACAAAACAAAAUGUAAACAAAACCUGGCAUUUGCGCUACAUGUCUGUCAAACCGUAAUACACCUCUUUCAUAGUAAAUGCACCCACCCUUAUUAUAUAUCAUUUUAUUCAGGGGAAACAGGGCUUUCAUUUAAUAUCAAAUAUUUAGCUAUGAAACAUAAUUUAAUAUGAAAAAAAUGGGAGAAAAUACGAUUUUUUUGAUUUUUUUAGUUCUAAAUUGCAUUUUAAAGGUCAGUGUCAUAAUACUGUUUGAUUUUACUGCAAUAAAAUACACAUAUUUGUAUUUAGUAAAGUCUCACGUGUAAGACAGUACCCCCUAUGUACAGGUUUUAUGGCGUUUUGGGAAGUUACAGGGUCAAAUAUAGCACGUUACAUUUGAAAUUGAAAUUCGCCAGAUUGGUUACGUUGCCUUUGAGACUGUAUAGUAGCCCGGGAAUGAAAUUUACACCCAUAAUGGCAUACCAUUUGCAAUAGUAGACAACCCAAGGUAUUGCAAAUGGGGUAUGUCCAGUCUUUUUUAGUAGCCAUUUGGUCACAAACACUGGCCAAAGUUAGCGUUAGUAUUUGUUUGUGUGUGAAAAAUGCAAAAAACGCCAAUUUUGGCCAGUGUUUGUGACUAAGUGGCUACUAAAAAAGACUGGACAUACCCUGUUUGCAAUACCUUGGGUUGUCUACUAUUGCAAAUGGUAUGCCAUCAUAGGGGUAAUUUUCAUUCUUGGGCUACCAUAGGGUCUCAAAGGCAACGUAACCAAUCUGGCGAAUUUUAAUGUGAAAAAAAUGAAACACAAGCCUUAUAUUUGACGCUGUAACUUUUGAAAACACCAUAAAACCUGUACAUGAGGGGUACUGUUGUACUCGGGAGACUUCGCUGAACACAAAUAUUUGUGUUUCAAAACAGUAAAAAGUAUCACAGCAAUAAUAUUGUCCGUGUAAUGCUGUUUGUGCGUGAAAAAUGCAAAAAACGUCACUUUUACUGGCGAUAUCGUUGUAAUACAUUUUACUGUUUUGAAACACUAAUAUUUGUGUUCAGCGAAGUCUCCCGAGUAGAACAGUACCCCCCAUGUACAGGUUUUAUGGUGUCUUGGAAAGUUAUAGGGUUAAAUAUAGUGCUAGCAAAUUAAAUUCCCUUUACUUUCGGCAUGGGUUGUCAGGCAGGUCCCGCUAAUUGUAAUUAAUUAAGAUACCUAAUUAUGUAAAAAUAUUACAUAAAUAUAUAUGUAGAAUUAAUAUAUGUGUAUAUAUAUACGUAUGUGUAUAUAUAUGUAUAUAUCUAUAUAAUUUUUUAAAAAUAUUUUUAUUUAUAUAUAGGUAUAUAUAUAGUGAUAUAUACGUAUAUAUUUAUGUAUAUAGAUAUAUUAUUUCGUUCUACGUGUAUUUUGAUAUAUAUAUAUAUAUAUAUUAAUUUCACAAAACAGUUAGAACGAAAUAACACACAUCUAUAUAUUUUUUAAUUAUUUAUUUUUAAUUAUUUUUUAAUUUUAUUUUUUAACGUAUUUACAUUUUUAUUUUUUUUAUAUUAUAUAUAAAUAUAUAUAUAACAAUAAUUAUAUAUAUAUUUAAUCAGUAUCAGUCUACGUGUAAUUUGAUAUUAAUAUAUAUAUAUAAUUAUAUAUAUAUUAAUAGUAAAAUACACCUAGACGGUGUAUGUGUGUGUAUGUAUAUGUGUAUAUAUAUACUUAGAUCAUAUAUAUAUAAUAUAUACAUAUGAUCUAAGUAUAUAUAAUUAUUUUUUUUUACACCAUUAACUUAUUUUUAUUUUAUUUUCAGCCAGCAGGGGGACCACCUGUAAUUACAGGCAGCCCCCCUGCCGGCAAUACAGAAGCCAGCUAUACCCGGCCAUGUGAUUGUGGGGUCCUCGCUAGGACCCCACUCUCACAUGGCCGGGGGGCUUCAACGAGGACGGAUGUGCCGCGGGGGGCUCCCUGGGAGUCCCCCCCACCGCGAUCGCCGGCGUGGGACCGCCGGCGACCGGGUAAGUUAACAAAAACCGGAGGGCGUACAAUUACGCCCGGCGGCGUUUAGAGCCGCCUAUUAGAGGGCGUAAUUGUACGUCCUGCGGUUUUAAGGGGUUAAAGACACAUGACGGAAAUAUUCCGUCAUGAUUCCAUUUUAUUCCAGAAGUUGUGUCCUUAAGGGGUUAAAGCUUUGUAAAAACUCCGUGCAUGCACUACUUAGAUGUUUUUGGCACUUUUGCUGUGUAUUUGUACUGUCAUAAUUUAAUACUUUAAGUGCACCCAUAAGUAUUACGUAUUGUUUUUGUAAAAAAACAGUGCUUUCUACAGUUUUCCUAUAUGUAUACAUAAAACAUUCUUAACGGACACUCUUUAAUCCCCAGAACCACUACAGCUUAAAGAGACACUGUAGGCACCCAGACCACAUAAGCUCAUUUAAGUGGUCUGGGUGCAAUGUCCUAUGUCCCUUAACCCUAUAGUGGUAAUUCUUGCAGUUUCUGAGAAACUGCAAUAAUUACCCUGCAGGGUUAACUCAUCUUCUAGUGGUUGCCUACCAGACAUACAUUAGAGGAACUUCCAGGUGUUUCAACGACUUUUGGUAGUCUAAAUGACGUUGGACGUCCUCACACUAUGCAUGAGGAUUUCCAGCGUCACCGGAAUCCUCCUUGGAAAGCACUGAAUAAUGCUUUCAUAUGGUCAAUAUCCUAAUGCAAGCAUGGCCAUUGCUGCACAUGACUUCGGCCAGGGAGGAGCGUGGGCAGAGCCUGACCCAGCGCUGAGGGACAUCGACGCUGGAUCCAAGUAAGUGACGGAAGGAGUUUUAACUGCUUAAGCACCGCAUGGGGGAACUGUAGGAUUCUAUAUUGCCAGGAAAACAGAGCACUAUAGAAUACAUUUAAUGUGGGCAAUUAGACUGUAUCUGCAGCGUGAGCACUGAGAAAAAACAGUGUUUACAUUAAUGCCUUACACAUUUCUAGGGACUGUUACUCGGACAGCCACUAGAGACUAACCGGAUGCAGCCCUGCAAAGAUUAUACUACACCGUUUUAGCAUCUUCACGCUGUGCAUGGAGACGCUGAUUGCUCUCAAUGCUUCUCUCUGAGGUGAUACUAAUUGCUGUGCAUGCACAGUGGGCCCACAAUGCUUCCUUAUGGAGAAGUAUUGGAUUGGCUGAGAUCGGUUUUGAUGAUUUCUCAGCUCUAAGUAUUAGGGCCAUUGAAUGAUCCCACAGCUUGAGGAACUGUUGUGUCUGCACAAGAUGCUCUUCCAGUAGUUCCCCUUCUUCUAACCAUAUCUUCUGAUUGUGACUUUCACUGCCUCCAUAUACAUUUACUGAAAAAGAGCUCAAAGAUUUUAAGUUUUCUUAUUUCUCAGUUUGGGGGAGGAGGGGUUGUAUAUGUAUGCUGAUACUUUUUUAUUUAUUUUAUUUUUUCAUCAAAGUUAUUAUUGUACCUCAAUCUAAGAAAACCUUGUGAGAGUUAAUGUGUAGCUUAUACUUUGUAUUUGGUACAUAGUGUGUAUCCAUUUAGUAAAUACUGACAUAUUAGUGUAAAUUAAAAUCAGUGAGAUGGUGAUUUUGUCGGUGUGCUGUAAAUGGAUUCAUUCUGAGUGUGUCUAGCCUGAUUUGCCAUAGUAGUGCUACAGAACACUUAGCACUUAUUCAUUUUACAUUUCACAUGUUGAUAUUGGCAUUUAUCCUUCUUUCAAACAAGUCAAAUCACGUGACCCUAUUAAUGAUGUCACUGGUAAAUCCCCAAGUACUUAUUUUGUUUGCUUAUUUAAAAAAAAAAUCAAUCUGAUUUGGUUAAUUAAAAACACAUAACGGUCACUGUAUUAUCAUCAAACCUUUAAGGUUAUUGUAGAGAGGUAUAUCAGUAACUCUAAUCAUGUAUUUGCUUCUUUUCCACCUACUAUGCUAUGCCAUUUUUUUAAACAGAUGGAUUAAAUUAGUAAGGAUGUUUAUAGUACUAUGCUGAUUGAGGCAACAUGUUUUCCCCUGAAUGGAAGCUGAUUGUUUGGUCUAUUUAAAUGCAUACAUCUAAACGAGAGUAAAGGUUCCAAACAUAAAGAAGCUGAGCAUCAGAAUAUCUUUACUUUUCAUGAUGCAAUGGAAUGCAAUUUAGUCACUACAUCUUAAUGAGUGAUUCCAACCUAAAAAAAGUUUUAAUAAAACACUGUUUUUAAUUAGUCACUCUUCCUAUCUGGCACUAUAAACGUAACAGAUAGAAAGAAGGGGGAAAAAAAACCUAAAACUUCCAUUCCAGCACAGAGUCCAAGUCUCCAAGCUUCACAUCGAUUGAUGUCUUGUAGCAAACUCAGCAUGACAAUAUGUCAUAGAAUAAUGUGUCAAAGUAUUGUGAAGAGAUCACAGUAUUUGGAUAUGCUAGUUGUAAUUCUGUAGAAUACUUUAAAAGAAAAGGGUAUACUCAUGGGUCUAAUGCACUGAGAUCUCAUGUUUCCUUGCUACAUGUACAUAGGGAACUGAGUUUCAGCACUUAAAGGGACACUAUAGUCACCAGAACAACUACAGCGUGUUGCAUUUGUUCUGGUGAAUAGAAUCAUUACCUUCAGGCUUUUUGCUGUAAACACUGUCUUUUCAGAGAAAAUGCAGUGUUUACAUUACAGCCUAGUGAUAACUUCACUGGCCACUCCUCAGAUGGCUGUUAGAGAUCCUUCGUGGGUCAUGGUUGCCUAAAAUGCAUCCAAACAUUCAGUAUCUCCUCCCUCUGCAUGCAGACACUGAACUCUCCUCAUAGAGAUUCAUUGAUUCAAUUCAUCUCUAUGAGGAGAUGCUGAUUGGCCAGGGCUGUGUUUCAAUCAUGCUGGCUGUGCCCCUGAUCUGCCUCUUUGUCGGUCUCAGCCAAUCCUAUGGGGAAGCAUUGUGAUUGGAUCAGGCUACCAUGUCUGAUGAUGGCAGUCGGCAGGUCUAAAGGAAACGGGGACAAAAUAAGCAGCUGCAGACUUGAAUACAAGUAAGAUUUUACUAUAUUUAGGGAGGCAAGGGGGCUAGAUGGUGGUUUUAACCCUAUAUGCAUGUUUGUGUUCCUGACCCUAUAGUGCUCCUUUUAUGAAGAGGGGAACAAUCCUACAGAACCCUUGACUCUGUAUGAUUAUUCCUCUCUUAGAAAGCAAAAAUGAAGCGUAGAAAGCAAAUGAAGAUGUACUCUACCUUCAUUCUUUCUAUGCAUUUAUCUAGCUAAGUGUGAGUUUAAAGUCAUAGAGUUUCAAGGACUGGCACAUUCGUAAUUGUGAGCACUCCACCUGGCACUUGUGACUGUGAGGAUUGGUGACGUUUCAUGGUCAUUAUGUGAUAUAUAUUUAUGGAACACUUUAGGACAGAAGUAGGCAACCUUUUGGUAGUGUCAAACAGUGAUACAAACAAGUAGUGUGUAACAAUCGUACAGAUAUAAAUAAGAGCAGCUCAAAACACUCCUAAAGGGCACCUUAGUUCCCUCAUCAAACAACAAUGUCUAUUAAAAGUGUAUUACAAGUGCAAGACUUGUAACACAGUGGAGCAUUGUUUAAAUAAGAAAAGACUUCUUACCAUCUUGCCAAUAAGAAGUCACAUUCAGAUAUGUAGAGCGCAGGUGUCUGACUUGCCCUUCUUCAUGAUCAGGAGGUAAUCAGGACAGGAAAAGGGGAAAACCUUAUAUAAAUGAAAAGGCAUUACUGUGUGGGGAGACUGUGUUUAUCCCAUGCAAUAGGCCAACUGAUUAAAAUAAAAAUCAUUAUAAUUAAAUAUUAAGUAUGGGAAUAAAGUAGAGAAACUUAAAGGGACACUAUAGUCACCUGAACAACUUUAGUUGAAUGAAGCAGUUUUGUUGUAUAGAACAUGCCCCUGCAGCCUCACUGCUCAAUCAUCUGCCAUUUAGGAGUUAAAUCCCUUUGUUUAUGAACCCUAGUCACACCUCCCUGCAUGUGACUUGCACAGCCUUCCAUAAACACUUCCUGUAAAGAGAGCCCUAUUUAGGCUUUCUUUAUUGCAAGUUCUGUUUAAUUAAGACUUUAUUAUCCCCUGCUAUGUUAAUAGCUUGCUAGACCCUGCAAGAGCCUCCUGUAUGUGAUUAAAGUUCAAUUUAGAGAUUGAGAUCCAAUUAUUUAAGGUAAAUUACAUCUGUUUGAAAGUGAAACCAGUUUUUUUUUUGUUUGUUUUUUUUGUCAGUCAUAGCCAGGGGAGGUGUGGCUAGGGCUGCAUAAACAGAAACAAAGUGAUUUAACUCCUAGAGAGCAAAAAAUGGGUCGCAAGAUGGUUUUAGCUCAUCUUGUGCCAUUACAGAGAGAACAUAUUUGAAGCAUAUCAGACUGGUCCCACCCAUACAGGCAGUCCAGAUCCGAAAUGCCAGCAAGUUCUCUCUGCACGAGAGACACUGAAACCCCAGACGAUCGUUUCAGCCUUGUUAGGCAGCAUCAGUGAGGCAUAGCUGAUAUCUCUCUAGGCACCGUGAGCAAGGGGUCGACGUCUGGAUUACCCUUUAAACUAAUGGAGAGCAAAAAAUGGGUCGCAAGAGUAUUCUGAGAACGGACAGCAGCUAAAAUAGCCUGCCCUUCGGUGGGUCCCCGCUCAGAACUCAUGCUGGUUUUAGCUCAACUUGUGCCAUUACAGAGAGAACAUAUUUGAAGCAUAUCAGACUGGUCCCACCCAUACAGGCAGUCCAGAUCCGAAAUGCCAGCAAGUUCUCUCUGCACAGGAGACACAGCAACCCCAGACGAUCGUUUCGGGGGGAUCCACCGAAGUGCAGGCUAUUUUAGCUGCUGUCCGUUCUCAGAAUACUCUUGCGACCCAUUUUUCGCUUUCCAUUAGUUUAAAGGGUAAUCCAGACGUGGACCCCUUGCUCACGGUGCCUAGAGAGAUAUCAGCUAUGCCUCACUGACGAUGCCUAACAAGCCUGAAACGAUCGUCUGGGGUUGCUGUAUCUCUCGUGCAGAGAGAACUUGCUGGCAUUUCGGAUCUGUACUGCCGGUAUGGGUGGGACCAGUCUGAUAUGCUUCAGAUAUUUUCUCUUUGUAAUGGCACAAGCUGAGCUAAAACCAGCUUGAGUUCUGAGCGGGGACCCACUGAAGGGCAGGCUAUUUUAGCUGCUGUCCGUUCUCAGAAUACUCUUGCGACCCAUUUUUUGCUCUGAUUUAACUCCUAAAUGACAGUGAUUGAGCAGUGAAAUUGCAGGGGAAUGAUCUAUACACUAAAAUCGCUUUAUUUAGCUAAAGUAAUUUAGUUGACUAUAGUGUUCCUUUAAGAUACAAGGAAGUAAAAUUAUGUGGACUGGCUGACAAUGUAAUUAACGCCUUAAGGAGUGAGCCAAAUGUACACGUUGUGAUCAAAACAAAAUGUAAACAAAACCUAUAAUUUGGCUAUAUGUCUGUCCAACCGUAAUUCACCUCUUUCAUAUUAAAUGCACCCACCCUUAUUAUAUAUCAUUUUAUUCAGGGGAAACAGGGCUUUCAUUUAACAUCAAAUAUUUAGGUAUGAAACAUAACUUAAUAUGAAUAAAAUAUUUUUAAAAAAUGGGAGAAAAUAAGAUUUUUUUAAAAAUUGUUUAGUUCUAUGCGGCAUUUUAACUGUCAUAAUACUGUUUGCUUUUACUGCAAUAAAAUACACAUAUUUGUGGGCGGGGCCUGGCCGCAGAGCUGUGAGGAAGCUCUCCACAGCAGCUCCUGCUUAACUCGGCACUUAACGCUAAAUUUCACCGUCACACAGGCACUUAAUUGUGAAUUUAAAGCUACCACUCGAGAGUAGACACUGAGGGGAAGAAAACGAUACCUCUCCAGCGACAAACCGAGCACAACCGACAAUGAGGCCUAGAAGCAUGGCAGGCGCAGGGCGGACGGCCGCUCCCCAGCUGCAAUGCCAUGCCCAGAAUCUGGCUGCAAGCCCUCGUUCCCCCCCUCUGGACCGGUGGGGGUUAUCCCGGUCUACCCCCAACUGACUCCCUGGCAAAGCAAUGGGCCAGAAUCGGCUCCGUGGAGCCCAAAACCAACAGACCCAGCGGUCUUUAAUAUGGCGGAAACCUCCCACACCUCCGACGCAUGGCGGGAAACGGAGACGCGACUGAACAGCAUCUUCGCUAUUUUCUGGGAGUCCCUGGAAGCCCGCAUGAGAGCCUCAGAGGCUGAAGAACCACUCCAGACUUCACCACAGCGCACCUCACAGGAGGCCAGAUGGGGACAAACAGCAGCGCAGCCCCAACAACAGCUGUAUCACAAGGGUGACGCUAACCCGAACCGGCAGGGGCAGAGGCUAGUCACAAGGCCCCAAAAAAACGGAAGCUGGACAGCGGCGGAGGGUCAAGUACUCGCACCCCCCAUGCAAGGCAGUGAAAUGGAGGGGACCAGCGAAGCUGAGCACAAGACCUACCCAGACAAGGCGAGUGAAGCAGAGGGGAACAGGACCAGGGGAGGUGACUGCGUCAGGAAGGUACAUACAGAGCUACCCCAGCCCAAGACAGGCAAACCUUCCCCGAUGCACAGCUUGGCUGGAGCUACACUCAGCGCCCACAGCAACACUGCAUAGCCUAGGGGACAUCAGCUCCUUCACACCGAGGAGAUCGCACCAGCUGCACCGAUUACCGCAGGAGGUACAUACACAGCCCCAACAAGGCAUCGGCUGACCCCCAAAGGGACCAAGACUCAAAUCUGGGCAUAGUACCAUCUGUCACACAGCUCUCUGUGCCCCAACUGAACUCUCACAAAUGUAUACUGGAACAUAUAAUUAGCUUCUUUUGCUUUCUAUUUUGUUUUCUGGUCUGUUCGCCCAGGGAAGCACGGGGGGGAUUAAAGUCAGAGUUCAGCAAUUGUAUAAUAGGAGUACACAAGCUAAGAUUAGCCAGGAUUUAAGCAACUAAUUUACUUAUAGUAUGCUUGGCUUUGCGCCAUGUCUGUAAACUGCUGUUUAACUGGUGGGCCCCAAGCAAAAUAUAUGCUCCUGGACCCACAAAUAUUGCUGGAGCAUCAUAAGAUCAGCUAUGUUUCUGUCCUACACUAUACCUCAGCUAACGAUUGCUUCUGAUUAAUACUUAAUUACUCACACAGGAUCAGCCCUGACUUAGGCCAAUAAUAUACUUUAGCUGGUUUAGUACUGCGAAAUGUUAUCAAGCUGCUGCUUAGCAUAUAGGCCCCAAGCGAUACAUAUACCACAACACCCACAAACACUGCUGGAAUACAAUACUGUAUACCUCACAUAAAGGCGUAAACCAACAUGUGACCCAGCUACUUAAACGCUUUUGUCCAUACAUGUGUUGAACCGUACACUGCUUAAGGUUGUCUUUCCUGUUCACUAAAUUACAAAAACGUGCUGAGUUAACUUAUGCCACGAAAAUGUUUUACUAUGUUAUAUUUGACUGCGUCUGUUACAGCUGUUGUGGCUACACAGACACUGUUGUAAAUUCUUGCACGACAAAAAUAAAGAAUUUAAAAUAAAAAAAUAAAAAAAUAAAAAUAAAAUAAAAUACACAUAUUUGUAUUCAGCGAUACUUCACUGUUAUAACAGUACCCCCUAUGUACAGGUUUUAUGGAGUUUUGGGAAGUUACAGGGUCAAAUAUAGAAUGUUAAAUUUUUCAGUUUUUUUCACAUUGAAAUUCGCCAGAUUGGUUACAUUGCCUUUUGAGACUGUAUGGUGAGGGCCAGAUUAACAUAGGGGCUGAUAGAGCUGCAGCCCCAGGCCCAUGGAAUAGGCCCAUUGAUUUUUUAUUUUUAUUUUUUUUUUAUUUAUUUUUUAAACAGACUACUCUUAGGGAUUCCACCUGGCUUUUAUUUUAUUGGCACAGCCAUUAUUUGAGGCUGCCUGGCUGGUUCCAAUAUUGCAGUCAUACUGGCAAUACAAAUGCUGGUAUUUUUUUCAGUAUAAACAGAGAUUACUAUGCAAUAGCAGCACUGGCCAGUAGGGGUCGCUGUGUGUGGAGAGAGGCAGGGAUAGGAAGUUCCAGCAUAUACCUCUCCCAAUAUCCCUUAGUGUCUCAGUGUCCCCAUGUCUCCUUGCAGCCGUUCCCCCCAUCCCUCACUUAGGCCAUCUCUGCAGGGUGGGAGUUGCUUUCUGGACUCUCUGUAGCUGCUCACCUGCAGAUCAGUGAGUACUAUACUGAUACACAGAUCUGCAGGUGAGCAGCUACAGAGAGUCCAGUAAGCAACUCCCACCCUGCAGAGAUGGCCUAAGUGAGGGAUGGGGGGAACGGCUGCAAGGAGACAUGGGGACACUGAGGGAUAUUGGGAGACAUUAUGACACAGACACUUGGGGACACAGUGUCCUCUAGUCUCCCAGUGUCUCCUAGUGCCCCAUGUCUCCUAGUGCCCCAUGUCUCCCAGUGCCCCAAGUGUCUAAAUGCCCCCAUGUCACCAUGUCCCCCAGCCAGUGUCUCUAGUGUCUGUGUCCCCAUGUCUUUAAGUGUCCCCUAUUUUCCCAGUGUCCCCAUGUGUUCCAGUCAGGGUGCUGUCUGCAUUAUAUGCCCUUAGUUGGCCAGGCAGCCUACCAUGCAUUCAUGCCAGGCUGGCCUUCCAAUUCUUUGGGCAGACAUGUCUUCUUUUUGGGCAUGUUCGGCCCUUUUGGCAAGUUACGUGAUUUGUCAGUGGCACACCCUUUUACCGUGCCAAUCGACUUCCUGCUUGACUGGACACUGCUGUUAGGGGGUAUGGCUUUACUUGAAAGAUGAAAACAUAAAUUAGAGAGAGAUUAGCAUAGGGUAUGUUUUUUUUAUAGCUGCUGUUUCCUUUCUCUCCAUCACCAUCUCCAUCAGAUACAUGACGCUUGGGAGUGUUUUAGUGUUCUUGUUAAAAUUCUGUAAUUAGGCGCAUCAUAAUUGUCAGCACCAGGCCCACUGGGCUCUUAAUCUGGCCCUGCGCAUGGUAGCCCAGGAAUGAGAAUUACCCCCAUGAUGGCAUACCGUUUGCAAUAGUAGACAACCUAAGGUAUUGCAAAUUGGGUAUGUCCAGUCUUUUUUAGUAGCCGCUUGGUCACAAACACUAGCCAAAGUUAGCGUUAAUAUGUCUGUUUGUGAAAAAUGCACAAAACUAAUUUGAACGCCAAUUUUAGCCAGUGUUUGUGACUAAGCGGCUACUAAAAAAGACUGGACAUACCCCAUUUGCAAUACCUUGGGUUGUCUACUAAUGGCAAAUGGUAUGCCAUCAUGGGGGUAAUUCCAUACGGUCUCAAAGACAAUGUAACCAAUCUGGUGAAUUUCAAUGUGAAAAAACUGAAACGCAAGCCUUAUAUUUGACUCUGUAACUUUUGAAAACACCAUAAAACCUGUACAUGAGGGGUACUGAUAUACUCAGGAGACUUUGCUGAAUACAAAUAUUUGUGUUUCAAAACAGUAAAAAGUAUUACAGCAAUAAUAUUGUCAGUGAAGGUGAAGUUUUUUGCAUUUUUCACACAAAAAUGGCACUUACACUGAUGAUAUUAUUGCUGUAAUACAUUUUACUGUUUUGAAACACACAAAUAUUUGUGUUCAGCGAUGUUUCCCGAAUAAAACAGUACCCCCCAUGUACAGGUUUUAUGGUGUCUUGAAAAGUUAUAGGGUUAAAUAUAGUGCUAGCAAAUAAAAUGACCUAUACUUUCGGCCUUUGUUGUCAGGCAGGUCCCGCAAAUUGCAAUUAAUAAAAUGACCUAAUUAUGUAAAAUUAUUACAUAACUAUAUACGUAGAAUUAUUAUAUAUUCGUGUGUGUGUGUGUGUAUGUAAUAAAAAAAAAAAAAAUUAUAUAUAUAUAUUUCGUUCUACGUGUAUUUUUAUAUCAAUACAGUUACAACAAAAUUACAUAUAUAUUAUUAUUUUUGUAUUAAUUUUUAACGUUUUUGCAUAUUUUUUUUCUAAUAUAUUUGUUAAUCAAUAUAAGCCUACGUAUAUUUUGAUAUUAAUAUAUAUAUAUAUAUAAUUAUAAUAAUAAACUACAGUGUGUGUGUGUGUGUGUGUGUGUGUAUGUGUAUAUAUAUAUCCAAAGAGGUAGCAGCACUCACGGAAUUAAAAGUUCAAAUCUUUAUUAGGUCAUAUUAAAAGUCAGGAUCAACGUUUCAGUCCUCUAUAUGGGACUUUCCUCAAGAUCAAUAUAACUACAUAAUCAACAAGGAAAACAUAUAUAGACAAAUACAUUAACUAAAUUAGCUUACCCCCAGGUGAAGUGCAUUCUAAAGUGCUCCGUGCGCAUGUGAAAACAAGGCUCCACCCCCACGUGACGUCGCGGCAUGCCGUCAUCACGUCAGUUUCCAUGGUGACGCGGCGCCGACCUAGGGGGAGUGCAUCAGCAUUGUAAUGUGCUCAUGUGCAAGUAAAGCUCCACCCCCACAUGACGCCGUAACGUGCCGUCGUCGCAUCUGUGUCCGUAGCAACGCGGCACACACGGCCCUAACUAUGGAGAUGAAAAAACCUUAACAGUGUAUGAAACAUUGCACGUUCUGAAGAUCAAGGAGGUGGGUGAUAGAAAAUAAAGUGCAUUUAAUAUGUUAAAUAUGGAAUAAUAUAUAUAGUGAGUGAUAUGUGUAAAAAAUCUUACUUGCCAUAAUGUCUAAUUAUGAGGCUGGUGACAGGUAACUACAAAGGGACCAUUCAUAAUAAGAGGGUCUAGUCAGGGACGUAUUAGCCGCGAGGCAAACAAGGCAUUUGCCUUGGGCGGCAUUUUUCAGGGGAUGGCAAAAAACGCCGCCCCCCAAAUGCCCAGGGCAAAUGCCUAGUUAGCCUUGCGGCUAACUGACAUCCCGGUCGGGCGGGCUGCUCUGGCUGCUGUGCGGGCGGCUGACGAGGGAGCACUUCCUCUGAGCUGACUGCUCAUCAUCCGGCUCCCAGCCUCACUCUGCGGCGCGCGAGGGAGCUGAGCAGUCAGCUCAGAGGAAGUGCUCCCUCGUCAGCCACCCGCACAGCAGCCAGAGCCGCCCGCCCGGCAGCCACUGGACCACCAGGGAGAGAGAGACCUCCCCACCCCCCAGCACUCCCAAAGGUAAGGAGGUUGGGGGGGGCAACACAAAACCAGGAUACACCACUGGGUCUAGUAUCAAGUUAUCUACAAAGUGCCAUCUGAGAAAGACUAAAGUGCCAUGCAGCUUAAUUUAAAGUGCCAAGCUGUGAAAUUGUAAAGUGACAAAGUGAGUUAAAUCAAGGGUAUAACUAUAUGGACAAACUCUUGUAUACAUUUAUAUACAGGCAACAUCAUUAACAAGACGAAUACUCCUAAGUGGACUCUGCUGUCAGGACUUAGAAUGUAGACCCUAAAGGAAACUAUAUUUAAUUCAUAGCUAAUACAUCUCUUAAAUGGGAGUAUUAUAAAUUCAAGACUUGUCCUGGCACAUUCCUGUACUAAUUCACUUUUGAGUAUAAACCCAUUGUUAAAUGAACAUCUAUUACAUAAUAAAGAGGAUACCUGUAUAUUGUUAAUGCCCACAGUAAACAACUUGAUAGACACAGACAUAUACUGAACACAUUGUUAAGAAAUUAAAAAAUAUACAAUCAAGCUGGAGCUGUAAUUCAUAAAAAAGAAUGGAAGUAAAUGGUUUCAUUAAGUCCUUUUGGAAAUACAGUGUCUAAUUCAGAAAUCCAAAAUGCUUUCCGGUUCAACAAUAUUCUCCCACGAUCGCCUGUUCUUCGUGAUAUGGGCACAUGGUCUAUACCUAAAAAUUGUAAGGAAGCCAACGGGUGCUUAUAUUGCAGGAAGUGCUUAGCCACUGGUUUGUCAGAUGUACCAUGCCUGUGGGCCAACCUGAUGCUGGAGCGGUGGCCUCUGAUUCUUUCACACAGGGCUGUUUCGGUUUUCCCGAUAUAUACCAGUCCACACGGGCAUGUAAGUUUUUAUAUAUUACAUGUGUUGUUUUACAUGUAAUUGUGUUGUAUGGUGUACUUCCUGUUCGUAUGCAGAUGGAUAAAACUUUUUGAGGGCAUCAUGUGCCCACACGUUACGCAUUCCAAGCAGCGUACAGAUCCUCGUUUCUGGAUCACACUUUAAUUUGCAUAGCUAUUGAUUGGAUCUGUAUGUACCAACAUAUCCUUUAAGCUCUUAUUUCUCUUAUGGCAAAUCAGUUAAAUUACAUAGGAAGAGCAUUGAUUUGGACCUUCGUGACCUCUUUCUCUCGGACUAUUAUAAGGCUAAAAGAAUCCCUAGAGGGUUCAGGAUAAUGAAUAUCCCCACCAUUGGUAGGGGUAAAGCUAAGGUUUGCAAAAAAUGGACUAUGGUGUUGAACAGGGCAUCUUUAGAUAUGAUGUUAAUUAUCAUUAAAGAUGUGAAAGAGGACUUAACAGAAGUCCAUCAAAAAAUCAUAGAGACAGAAACUGAACAUGCCAUGUUACUUGCCUCUACAGAUGGAUUAAAACUACAGCAAAAACUGAAAGAAGAUAUUUUCAAGUAUAAAAAAAUGAGCUGAUUAAUUUCAAAAAACAGAAAUUAGAAAAGGUUCAACAAGACCAUUGAGUCUAUAGAUGGCUAUCUGGCAGCAACAUGAGCAGACCGAGACAACGUAGAAGGAUUAUAAAACCCAGGAUAGUCACUAUUGACAACACAGGUGAAUCAGCUUUUGAAAAUGAUCAUAAUGAAUCCACCAAAACACCAUCUUCUUCAAUUUUUUAUUUUUUUAUUUAUUUAUUUUUUAGGAGUCCCAGAAAUGGGUAUCUC